rnacentral:ncRNA from 1 species
AUUAAAAGGCAAAGCCGAUGAAAGUCGGUGACGCAAAGCACGAGCCUAAAUUUCGAUUAUUUGGAGUAUGGCGGUCGGGCUGC